rnacentral:misc_RNA from 1 species
UCUCCGUAGGUGAACCUGCGGAGGGAUCAUUACAGAGUUCAUGCCCUACCGGGUAGAUCUCCCACCCUAUGUUAUUAUUACUUUGUUGCUUUGGCGGGCCGUUAGGCUCCGGCCCGACUACCGGCCCCGGCUGGUAAGCGCCCGCCAGAGGACCCAAAACCCUAAAUAUUAGUGUCGUCUGAGUACUAUAUAAUAGUUAAAACUUUCAACAACGGAUCUCUUGGUUCUGGCAUCGAUGAAGUACGCAGC